rnacentral:rRNA from 1 species
CUGGUGUAUCUGUUAGGAAUCAAUCCUAUGGCAGAGUAGCCAAGCCGGGAGGGGAUAAACGCUGAAGGCAUCUAAGCGUGAAGCCCCCCUCAAGAUGAGAUAUCCCAUUCGUAAGAAGUAAGACCCCUUAAAGAGUAUGAGGUUGAUAGGGCAGAGGUGGAAGUGCAGUAAUGCAUGCAGCUGACUGUCACUAAUAGGUCGAGGGCUUAUCCAG